UACCCAUGGUGGGGGCAAGAAUUAAGCAAAUUCUUGAAUCUCUCCCAGCAUUUGUAAAAAGUUUCAGUAUCUUUUUUAACAAAAUUCAUGAUUUUUCUUUUUAAUGCA